rnacentral:rRNA from 1 species
UACGUAGGGUGCAAGCGUUGUCCGGAAUUAUUGGGCGUAAAGAGCUCGUAGGCGGUCUGUUACGUCGGCUGUGAAAACCUGGGGCUCAACUCCGGGCCUGCAGCCGAUACGGGCAGACUAGAGUUCGGCAGGGGAGACUGGAAUUCCUGGUGUAGCGGUGAAAUGCGCAGAUAUCUGGAGGAACACCGGUGGCGAAGGCGGCAUCCUGGACCGGGAUUGACACUGAGGCGCGAAAGCCAGGGGAGCAAACGGG